UAAAAUUCACUUUUGUGUAACAUACUAAUACAGUCUUAAAAACACUACGUUGCUUCUAAUUUAAUAAUACGCAAACGUAUUAAACGUAUUACAGGGUAUUGAUGAUACCCAGAUGGUUCAAAUGAAGUGGAGAUGAUUCUACAUGAAAAAACAAGUCGAGAAUAUCGAGUAAAGGUUUUUCAUCCUCGAGAAAUUCAAAUUUAAUCAAAUUUAAAAAUGGCAUUUGUGAAUUUGGCCACCAGUACCAACUGGUAAUUGAACUAAACAAUUAGCAGAAGGUUAUCUUAGAUGCGAAAAUAAGUGAAAAAUGUUGAAUAAAAUUUUUCCGUUUAAGGCCUUGUUUUCAAGAAAAUAGUUUGAUACACGCACGCUUGGUUAAUUUUCAAUUUUUAUUUUCUCAAAAAUGGAACGUCCUAUGAUAAAAUUUUAUGUUACAUAUUUUACUUACUUUUACCGGUACAAUAAUUUGUCAUCUAUUAUUCAAUUCAAUCCAGUUCAAAAUUAACAAAGUUCAAGUAUACUUGAUAAAUAUUCAAUCUUCAAUUUCUCGAAAACGAAGCCUUAAAUGAAAAAAAUUUCAUUCUAUGUACCUCAUUCUAUAUAUUUUGUUCUUAUUAUUUUAUAAAGAAUAACCCCACUUUGUCUGUAUCAUCAAUACUGGAACACCCUGUACAUUUAAUUAUACGUUAAAUAAUGAAAUUAUUCCUAUUCAAGUUAUAGUCCAAAUUAAGUAUCUAGUACAAAUACAUUUCAAUUGAUUGGCAAAUAUAUUUAUCAAUAAUUGCAUUAAUUUAUACUAUUUAAACUUUUAGAGGAAGACCAUCGUCGCUCAUAAAUAUUCCCUCUCUUUCUUUCGUUGAUACAGGCCAUUGCGAUUGGUGCGUAACUUGUGACGUAAGUGAACGACGGUUCCACCCGUGGUCCGUGGUCCUCUUUUAUUUCUUCAGAUCCUCGGUGAAAACGAAAUCUCCCGGGUAUCAUGCUAGUCACACUGCCUGUUUGAGAUUGAGCUUCCUACGUCAUCCGUACUAUCGCUCUCGAUGAUAAGAACUGCUUUUUGUCAACGAAAUUCUGUGAGCGACCACUACCACGACCACGACCACGACCACUCUCCACUUUCAAUCGGGAGGAAAUUAUAAAUUAUAGUUUCAAUGGAAAAGGACAGCGUGAAAAAAGUUCCAGAUCAAUUUAAACUUCUUCCAAAAAUUAUAAAUGGCGGGAUCGCAGGUAUCAUCGGUGUCUCUGUGGUAUUCCCACUGGACUUGGUUAAAACACGAUUACAGAAUCAAGUUAUUGGCCCUAGUGGCGAACGAAUGUACAAAUCAAUGUUUGAUUGCUUUAAGAAGACUUACAAUGCUGAAGGCUACUUUGGCAUGUAUAAAGGAUCUGGUGUGAACAUUCUUUUAAUCACACCAGAAAAGGCAAUCAAACUCACUGCCAACGAUACAUUUCGUUAUUACUUAUCUACAGGGCCUGGACAGAAACUGCCACUAGAACGUGAAAUGCUUGCCGGUGGAUUAGCUGGAGCAUGUCAAAUUAUCGUCACAACACCGAUGGAACUACUGAAAAUCCAAAUGCAAGAUGCUGGACGAGUAGCGGCAGCAGCAAAGGAAGCUGGGAAAGUUGUACCAAAGGUGUCGGCUUUAUCAUUAACGAAAGAUUUAUUGCGGAAAAGAGGCAUUUUGGGACUUUAUCAAGGUACUGGUGCAACAGCGCUUAGAGAUGUCACAUUUUCUAUUAUUUACUUCCCACUAUUCGCUAGACUGAACGAUAUUGGGCCAAAGAGAGAGGAUGGUUCCUCCGUAUUUUGGUGUUCGUUUUUGUCUGGUUGUACCGCUGGCUCUAUAGCUGCAUUAUCAGUGAAUCCGUUUGACGUAGUCAAAACAAGAUUGCAAGUAAUCAAAAAGGCACCCGGUGAACCAACAUACGAUGGUGUACUGGACUGCAUAACUAAAACAUUGAAGAACGAAGGUCCAACUGCAUUCUUCAAAGGUGGAGCGUGUAGAAUGAUCGUGAUAGCACCCCUUUUCGGGAUUGCACAAACCAUUUACUACCUCGGCGUCGCAGAAUGCCUAUUGGGUCUUAAGUGAACAUCGCCCUCUUCUUCUUCUGUGUCGUCUUAGAAUACUCUGGGAUUAAACUGACAAUAACUGGCGCGUAAUAGAUGUAUGUUCGCUUAAUAUGGUUCGCUAGUUGCUGAUGGUCGAAUAUGGAGGAGGUGCAGCAAUGUCGUCUUGUGUAGCGAUGCUUGGAUCAGAGCUGCUUUUCAAUCUAGACGGUGCACCCAAAGCACCCGGCAAAACUGGUGCCGGACUAAGUUCCAAGUCACUCUCCGGAGAGGAAGCAUAGGAGAGGCGAGAAGUCAUCGGGAAUAGGAAGUCAUCCGAGAGUGCUUCUUCCGGCUAUCAUCGCAGGACACAGAGGACAAUACAUUACAGAGUUUGGAACACCCGUUAUGUGAAAGUCACAUCUGGACUUGAAGCACGUGCGCGUAUACGACGAUAAAGGCACGUAUUAUAAGCAGACCAGUACGAGAUGCUGAAAGUAGCCAAAUUGGCGUAUCAACAAAACAAGCAGUGUCGUCAAAUCUAAUUCUACUACCUGCGAAUCCAGAAGAAAGCUAGAACGGGGGACACAAAAGAGUGAUACCUGAGCCAGAAAGACACAUUCCAGCUGCUUGUGAGGUGUGUCAUAUUCCAGCUAAACUGGCGCUUUUCCUUACGUAUGUCCUUAGCGAUCGCUUUAAGCCUCAAGUCAAUUGGGAUAAUAUUUUUGUAACGGGAAUCUCGCUUUUAAUUACUAUUCAUCAGAAAAUAUAUAAAUAAAUAAAUAAUAAAAAUAUAUAAAUAUAAAUAUAUAAAUAUAUAAAUAUAUAAAUAAAUAUAUAAAUAAUAUUUAUAAA